rnacentral:lncRNA from 1 species
GAGGUGGCAGCUGGGCAAACUGUCUCCAGACCACCACUGUAGGGAGAAGGGACCCGAUGCCAUGACACUGGCGGAGUGGAGAAAACAUUCCCACCACUGAGGAGUUUGCUAUGAGGGUUAUCAUGGAAGUUUCCUAGCAUUGAGAGGAAAGAGAAACAGUGACCAGAGACUUUCUCCUAAUAUGCAGGAAGGACAAUGUGGAGACCAAGACUAAUCUGGGUGAUGAGCUCCAGGCCUGCCUCAAAACAGGAGCUGAUGGGAGAGCUCAAAUGGGAAAGGUA